UACGUAGGGGGCGAGCGUUGUCCGGAGUUACUGGGCGUAAAGCGCACGCAGGCGGUCUCCCAAGUUCGGAGUGACAGUGCUCAGCUUAACUGAGCAAGGCCUUUGAAAACUGGGGGACUUGAGGGCUUCAGAGGGACACGGAAUUCCGGGUGGAGUGGUGAAAUGCGUAGAGAUCCGGAGGAACACCAAUGGCGAAGGCAGUGUCCUGGGAAGUCACUGACGCUCAGGUGCGAAAGCUAGGGGAGCGAACGGG
rnacentral:rRNA from 1 species